GAUUGUCUUUCCAAAACCUAUAAAACCUUAAACUCUGAGCGCGCAAGAGAUGAUGGAUUAUUGCUUAUUUAGACUCAUAAACUUUGAAAUUUGGUUUUGCAAGAAUACCUACAGGACAUAUAUAUAAGACUCACGACAGAAAACAUAAUUGCUGCAAAGGCAAUUUUCUGAGUUUAAGGGUUAAUAAGUGAAAACCCAUCACUCCUUACGCGCUCAGAGUUUAAGGUUUUAUAGGUUUUGGAAGGACAACC